GAUAAAAGUAUUAUCAGCGUUCAAUUCGCUGAGGAAUUAUAUAAGAUGAUUGGCUGAGUGGUUUAAAGCGACUGUCUUGAGUACAGUUAAGGAGUAUAUCCUUCAGGAGUUCGAAUCUCUUAUCUUCUGUAAAAAAUAUAUAAUUAAAAUAAAUUUAACUAAUUAAAACAGAUCCUAGUUUAAUUAGUAAAACGUAUUCUUUGGGAGAAUAUAAUCUGAGUGCGAUUCUCGGGGAUCUGAAAAUCUAUAAUUAAUUAUAAACUUAUAAGUAAUAUAAUUGAUACGAAAAAAAUAUUUAUACAAUAUAAUUAUAUAUUGUGAGUAUAUAAAGAGACUAUUAGGUAGCAUAGCUAUGUAUUAAAGAGAUAUAUAUUUAUUCUAAUUAAUUAAGAAUAAUAAACUCUAAGAGAAAUCAGAUACUAAACGAAGUGAAUUGAAUUAUCUUAUUAGCUUCAGGAAAAGAAAUCAAAAGAGAUUCUAUGAUUAGCGAGAGCAAAAAUAGAAAAGUUUAAUUAUUAAGUAAAAUGGUCACAAAACUGUUUGAACAUAAUGGGGAACCUUCCUCAAAAACUAAAUAUAAUACAUAAGCGAGUAGCGAAAAGUACCGUGAGGGAAGCAGUGUGAAGAAUUAGUAGUUUUAUAAGCAGCUCAAGCUAAAGCGAGAGCGUACCUUUUGCAUAAUGGGUCACCAAGUUAAAUUUAGGUGCGAGCUAACGCGUAGUUAAACCGAUCAUAAAAAUAAUGAAUAGUAUCUAAAUUUAGACCCGAAGUACAGUGAUCUUACCAUAGUCAGGACUAUAAAGGUCCGAACGGGUUAUCGUUGUAAAGAUAUCCGAAGAACUAUGGUAAGUAUAGUGAAAGACAAUCCGUGACUGUAUUAGCUGGUUUUCUACGAAACCUAUAAUAGUAGGCAAUUUAAAUUAUAUCUUUACAGGUACAGAACUUAAUCUCAGACAAGAUGUAUGUAAAAAUACAUUUUAUUUUGUAUAGAUCGGGGGAUCAUGAAGAUUUUACCGGUGAGUUUGUGGACUCGAAAUGGUAAAGAUAAAUUUUAAAUCAUCAGACAUAGAAUGAUAAGGUUGUAUGUCAAAAGGGAAACAGCCCAGAACAAGAGUUAAGGUUCCAAAAUUAUUAUUAAGUGAAAUUAAGAAAGUUUUUUUAUUCGUCGAUAAGGAGGUAGGCUUAGAAGCAGCCAUAAUUUAAAGAUCUCGUAUCAGAGCACUUAUUAAAUGUAAAAAGCGUCGAAAAUUUAACGGAUCUAAAUAAUAUACCGAUACCUUGUCCAUAAAAUAUAAAUAUUUAUUUAUUUUUAUGGGGUAGUAGAACGUUGAGUUAAUAUAAGCAACUUUUUUUAUAAAAAUUUUUAUAAUAUAACUCAAGUGAGAAUGGUGACAUGAGUAACGAAAAAGAAUAACUCGCCUAAAGCUUAUGGUAGAAUUUAAGUAACGGCCUCUAAGUUUAUAACCUGAAGGUUAAAACGAUGAGAAAAUCUUAUUACUAAUAAAGACGACAUUUUCAAGUGAAAAGUGUACAGGAAAUAAAUAGUAAUAUUGUAUAUUUAAUAUACAAAAACCGUUCCUAGGUACUAAAACAAGUAAGCUAGUAGAGAAUACGAAGGCGCAUGAGAUAACAAUCUUAAAGGAACUCGGCAAAUUGACUCUGUAACUUAGGGAAAAGGAGUGCUCAUUAGUCCUGAUUAAUAUCAGGUAAAAAGGAAGAGGCAUGGAAUAAUGUUGUACGACUGUUUAAUUAAAACAAAGCACUUUGCAAAAGAUGAUAAAUCAAAGUAUUGAGUGUGAUGUCUGCCCGAUGUCGGCUGGUUAACGAAAUCUACUAAACAUUAUAAGUUUGGUUUUUAAGGAACCCCCGAUCAAUGGCGGUCUUAACGUGAGGAUCCUAAGGUAGCGAAAUGCCUUGGCCGUUAAAUGCGGUCUUGCAUGAAUGAUGUAACGAUACAACAGCUGUCUCUAAGAUUGACUCAGUGAAAUUGGAGUAACUGUGCAGAUACAGUUUACCCCUAGGUAGACGAGAAGACCCUAUGCAGCUUUACUGUUACUAAUUAUUGGAUAUAAUUCAAGCAAAUUUUAGUUUAGAAGGUUCACAGAUUAUGUAAAAGUGAAAGACCUUUAUUUGUUUAUUAUAUUAUAAACCUUAAAUUUUAAGGAACAGUUGUUAGAAGACAGUUUAUGUGGGGCACAGACCCCGUAAAGAGUAAACGGGUGUAUCUAAAAUUAUAACUUAUAUUAUAUAAGUUUAUUUAUAUUUAUUUGUUUGUAAUUAACUUUAACAAUGUUAAAGUUAAUCUUAUAAUUUAGUGUAUAAUUAUAUACAUGUUAUUAGGUAAGAUUUUUCCUAUAGAGAAAUUAGUUGUAUUUAAAAUAUUAUAAAAUCUAUAAUAUUUAUUAGUUAUUAUGAUGAAUAAUCAUUAAUAAUCAUGAUUAAUACUUAUAAAGUUUAAUGGCUUAAUCUUGCUUUACUGUUUGAUUCACUACAAAUCUUACAGUCGCGUAAGCGGAGCAUUAGAUCACAAGAUACAAAAAGGAAAGGUCUUGGAUUAUUGGAAAAGCUACGCUAGGGAUGUUUGUCCUUCAAUAUUUUUUAAUAAUUGAUAACAUAUUGGGUUAAUUUCAAGAAUUACUUAUAAAAUUAAGUAAAUUUGAAGCGAAAUUUAUAAAAAAAUAAAAUCGUUCAACGACUAAAGGUGAGUUACAUAACAAUAAUCCUUUAUUAAUGCCCAACAUUUUUCUUUUAUUAUAUAAAGUUUAUAUAAUAAAAAUAAAAUAAUUGAAAAAAGAUA
rnacentral:sRNA from 1 species